rnacentral:RNase_P_RNA from 1 species
AAAGGGGACCGAUGGUCGCUCUUCAUAACUUUGGUUAUGAAGGGAGGAAAGUCCGAGCUCCAGAGGGUAGGGUGGUCCGUAACACGGACUGCUCUGUGAAAUUUAUAAAUUUCACAGAGUAAGGAGAGUGCCACAGAAAAUAGACCGUUCCGAUGAGAAUCGGAAUAAGGGUGAAAAGGUGAGGUAAGAGCUCACCAGUAUCCCAAGCGAUUGGGGUAGCUUGGCAAACCCCACCCGGAGCAAGACCAAAUAGGUUCCGCUUCCCUAAAAAGGGAUGAGAAUGACCCAUUCAAAUUUGUCCCAUUCAUAGGGACAAAGGCGGAACGGGUAAGGUCGCUUGAGGACCUGAGCAAUCAGGUUCCCAGAUAAAUGACCAUCAUCCUAUAUAGUAGCCUAAAAAAGCUACCUAAAUAGGAUACAGAACUCGGCUUAUGAUCCCCUUUAAGA